GGUCCCAUUGCCCCACUGCUGCACUCCCGCUGAGCGCUUCCACAGGAAAACCUCUGUGAAAACCACAAAAAGCUUCUCAGCGGAGCAGAUGCCGCUUCAGUCUGUGUUCUUAGAGAUGGAGGAGCACGAGGAGGAUGUGAGGAAAGCCACAGCUUCCCCAGCCGCGGGGCAGCAAAGCCCCAGCGGCAGCCUCAGGGGUCAGCCCAGGAUGGUGGUUCUCCCGUGGAAAUCCUUACAGCUCCAGCCCCCGUGUUUGUUGUCAGUGGCAGCAGCAGGAGGAGGUGUGAGGAGGAGGUGCGACUCCACUGCUUUUUAAGAAAAUAAUAAAAAAGAGCCUUUCCAACCCGCCUGAGAGACAGACGGUGCAGGAGAGCGCUGCUUUGAAAGUGACUUGCACUUGACUCCUCCGUCACUGUCUGCACACAACCCACGGGCAGCAAUUUCAGCGCUGGACAGGAGCCCCAGAGACCACGAACGGCAGCAGCUCGGAGCCUCCACUUCCCUCGUGGCUCUCCAAACCGUCCAGACAUGCUGCAGGAAGAACUCCACACCUCUGGGCACCACGGCCUUCCACAGUACCCUGCCACAGCCAGACACUGCUGGGUGCACGGCUGUGGGUGCUGGAGCCUGAGCACAUGUGUGGGAUGGUCCAGGGUCUCACAGGACAGCUCUUCGUGCUGAGACUCGUCCCACUCCAUCGUUUCAUCUGUGUCUGGGAGCUGAGCAGUCCUGGGUAAAGAUGUGGAAGGCUCUGACAGGGAACACAGAGUAAGAGUGGAAAUAACUGGAGGCAAACCUUCAGUUUUCAGCGCCUACUGAACAUGUGCCUCAUCGUUCUCUUCCCCAAGUUAGCGCAGAUCAGACUCUUCUGAGGCACAGCGCCUUGCAGUGAGCUUCUGUGGCUGCAAUCUCCUCCUAAUCCAGGCUUGUUCCAGGGAAAACAGGCAAUUUUAUAUCCCUUUGAUAUAGGUCUGAGCUGCUAAUGGUGCUAGGAAGUAAAAAGAAAUGGGCAUAGAAAUACACAACUAUGAAGAAUUAAAAUAGUGAAUUUAAUUCAGCCAAUUCCAACAAAAACGGUAGUUCCCUGAAAAACAAACCUUGCACAGAAAACACAGAACAGAAAUGGUUUCAUCUUGACAGCUGGUGAGAAUAACUGGGUGAAAAGGUGAAUGGAAUAUUUCUGACUUAUCUGGAAAACAAAUGGUUUCACACAUCCUGAAAAUGCCCUAUUUUUCAGUAAAUGGGUCGGUUUGGAAGGCAGUGAUUGCAAAUGCUCUGCAAGGAAAGCCCAGGUCUGUGCUCUGACACAACCAGUGACUGCAGAUGCCAAAUGUCUGGUUUUCAGAAAGCACUGAUGCUUCCCUAAAGGAAAAGCUGGGACUUCUAAAAAAUCACAGAAACCUGGAACGGUUUGGGCUGGAAGGGAAACUCAAAGCUCAUCUCACUCUAAGCCCCCAGCAAGAGCAGGGACACAUUCCACUAGACUAGCCCAGAAACCUGAAGAACAACAACCCAAAAUCUAUUAUUUUUAAGAAUCACAAGCCUGGCUUGCCCUGUGGUCCUGAUUUGGGCUCCAGGGCGCUGCAGAGUCCGAUGAAAGGACGCGAGGCUGCGGCUGUCGCCAGGCGUGUGAGGGAGCUGGCUGCACAGCCUGGCUCAGCUCCUCCAGCACUGAAAUACUCUUUCCAAAGCAAUACCAAAAAAGGUUUGUUUCUAGGUCAGGACCUCAGCACUCAAUUUUAACCAGGGGCUGACAGUCCAAUCUGAACGCAGCUGUAAAAUGGAUUCGCGGGAGAAGCUUUGGCAUUCCUUUUGUAAUUAGGAAACAGCCACUGAGCCGUGUGCCUUUAAAGGUGAAAGCUAUUUUUGACAUAAAAAUUAGCACGUAGUUCCUCUGUCAUCCCUCGGCUGCUGCGCUGGGAGCUGCGAGCGAACAGUCCAAAGAUAAGCAAGAAGUAAAAACAUGCUGAAUUACACAAAUACGUAGAAGGGGAUCAGGUUUAAUUUGUUUUAUUCUCUGACAGUUAGGAGACGAAGAGAUUUAUUUUUACACUUUUUCUCCUAAAAAGCACUGGUUAAAAGGUCUGCUUAAGCACUGAAACCCCAAUGGCAUUUAAAAACUUGAAGUGCUUUUAAUAGCUGGUUUUUGAAAAUACUGUUAAAUCUAUUUUUGAGAUGGACAAACUAAGCUACCAGUGAAGCAGGGCAGGAGUUUUUGGAAAGGCUCAGCAGUGGGAAACUCUCGUUCAUCUCUCAACAACUCAUUCCUGUACAGGGACCCUGAGAUCAAAA